GGAAAAAGAAGUGGGAGAUGACAUGCUUUAAUCCGUUAGUAAGUCAGAUGUGGGGGGUUUAUUUUUCAAAAGUCACAGCACAACAUGACACCAACAUGUCUGAUGUGAUGAAAUUGUUUGUACACACGAAAGACAUAAUGUAACUAUGAAUUCCCGCCUCUUUGUAUUUUCCCCUAUAUGGAAGACACCAUUGUCAAAACGAUCUCAUUCGGUACACAUUGUCUCACACAAACAAAAACAUCCAAAUAAUUGCUUGUUAGCUAAUAGCUAUCAUAUCAUACGUCACGCAGCCGUCAAAUUACAAAAUAGUUUUGCUGACAUUUACUCAGAAACAGCUUUACUUAUGUUUUGUUGAGGAAAGAAAUGAGUUAUCUCACAAAUGUGUUUUACGUGUUUAGGAGUAAUAAAUGUUCGGAUCUCUCAUUGCAUGUGAGAUGAAUGUAAUGGUAUGUUUGAUCCAAAGUAGAAUGUAUUGCAUAUUUGGAAUGCAUAGAAGAGCCUUGAAUGGAAACUUUUGGCAAAGUGGCCAAACGGGUGAAGGCUGAAAGGAAGGAGAUGACUUUGCAGUUUUCCCCAACUAACAGGAAAUGUACAAAUCACAUUAAUUGCCCGAGGGGGUGUGACUUUGCUGCAAAGAGUAUAAACCAAUCAUGCCACAAAAAGCAGAAAACAUUACCUUUUGGAAUGAUCAAACGAGGAGAGGCAGCUUUUUUACAAAUGUUCUGACUGCCCUUUUUUUUUUUUGUAACUUUCUACAAAAGGGUUUAAAAGCAUGCGUUUGGAGCAUUUGGGGCUUUUUUUUCUUGGAGGUCCGUGAGCUUUUUUCUCAGAUGGAGCAAAUGGUUCAGUUGCUUUGACAGAUGACAUUUCAUUCCUUUUUGCUUUCUGUGUGAGAUUCAAGGACAACUCCCAUAGUCACACGGAGACCAAAUGCAGAACACACCCUUCCUGUUCCGGUCUACCGCCUUAAGCCAUCUGGCCUGCUUCCCUCCAAUCAACUCAAAUCCUACGUCAAAUCCUGUUUCCUGUUUGCCUGUAGCCUGCACCUAGAUCGAAUCAACCCUCCCGAUCACCGGUCUGACCUACUCUUGAAAUAAAGGCCCCUCCAUCAUAA